GCCUUCGGGCAUUUGGUCAAUUUGAAACGAUACAGAGAAGAUGUAAGUUACACCCUGGAGGUCGUGGGUUCGAACCACGGUAACUAACUAUCUCACAGUAGCAUGGCCCCUGCACUAAGGAUGACACGCUCAAUCAAAGAGAAGCUACCAAUUUUU
rnacentral:snRNA from 2 species